rnacentral:lncRNA from 1 species
AAUCCAUUCUACAACUAUCAAUUCAACAAUACUUCUCUCAAUCACAAUUCUUCAUAAGCAAAUAAUAAAAGCAAAGAAAACAAAGAGGUAGCACCAAGCUUACUCCGGCUUAUGACUCUCUUAGUGUGGCUCUGAUCUCUCUUUCUUCAACCUAUUUAUCAUACCAAAAAGAUGAUUCGUCGGCGAGCGGAUUCGAAAGGUUAUGAACCUUUGAAUUCUUAACCAUUUAUUCCACUAACAACUUAUUGUUACCAGCUAAACUGCCUAGCCAUCAGUCUAAUUCUCAAGGUUAUCAAUAACCAACCAGUAACUUACCACAAAGUUUAUUUGCCUAUUCUACAUAGCCCCACUCAUAAUUUUCCAGAAUCCUCAUAAACAUUAUUUAGCCUCAACUUAUAAAGAUGUAGCAGCGUUGGCUUACCACCUUUUGAAUUGGUGACCUUCUCCUCUUUAUAUCUUCAUCAUCUGCCUUAGUGUUCGAGGGUUCUCCAUCCAAACGCGUUGUCAGAUCUUCAUUUAACAAACCCAAUUCCCGUACCUGAGACUCACGUCAGUAAUUUGGUUGUCAUCCUCCUCCAACAUCUUCUGCCAUUCUUCUGUCGGUUUCAAAGGUAUCUCUAAAAGUGUUGUCACUGAAACUGGCAUAUUAGUCUGCACUAAAUUAUUGGCCUCAUUUCCUAUGCGGCUAGUUUAGUCUGUAACAUCGCAAUCUCUACCUACAACCGUUCUUGUCGUUCCUUCCAAUGGGUCUCCAACCUUGCUUUCUCAGAUACCAUAUUCACCAUCUUCUCCUUAACCACAAAAGAAAGUGCGAUGCUUGUCAAGAGCCCCUCUCUUACUUCUUACUAUGGUCCAAUCAAUUGAAUCAACUCCCCUUUUAGUAACAGAAAACUCAUCCUGGAUUUAUGUAUAAUAAAGUUUAAGCCGAUUGCCAUUGAUCCAUAUCAUAAAUUUAGUAUCCAUAAAAUCUUUCAAUUGUACGGAAUCAUUUGGAAAUCUGUCAAUAACUUGAUAUGGCCCAUGCCAUCGAACUUGAAAUUUUCUUAAAUUUUUUUUAAAUUGACUAUCAUAAAGAAGUACCAAAUCAUUUGGCAUAAAAGCCUUUAGUCUAAGCUUACUAUCAUAAUAAGUCUUCCUUCAUUUUUGUGUAGUUUCCAUGAUCAUUAAUGCAUUGGCUCUAGUUUCAUCUAAUUUUUUCAAUUCUUCUAAAUGGUGCCGUAAUGAAUCCAGAUCUCCCAAUCUAGUAUCUAUAGCAAUUCGUAAACUUUUGACUUCUAAUUCAAUAGGUAAUAUUGCUUCCUGGCCAUAAAUCAAUUGAAAAGGGGUAGCAUUGCUAGUAACUUUAUACGCAAUAUGGUAUGCCCAUAAAGCUGCAAACAACUUAGUGUUCCAAUCCGUUCCCACUCCUGAAACUAUUUUUGUUAAGAUUUUACAUAAAAUUCCAUUAGUCUUUUUUGUUUGUCCAUUGGCUCUAGGAUGAUACGGUGUAGUCUUCCGAUGUUUUAUCUUGUAUUUAGUCGUGAGUGCUUUGAUUGUACUAUUUAAAAAAGAAUUCCUCGAUCUCUAACCAAUUCUCAUGGGUAAUCGUAACGUGUAAUAAUAUUUUUAUACAAAAAGGUUGUUACUGUAUUUGCACUGUCAAUUUUCAUAGCUACUUCUUCAGUCCAUUUUGUUACGUAAUCCAUUGCUACCAGUAUAUAUCAUUUUUUUCCAUUUCUCGAGGCUGGUGCAAUUGAUCCCACAAAAUCAAUUCUCCAUUUUUCAAAAGGUACUUGAGCCAAAAUUGGUACCAAUGGCACUGCUGAAGUUCCAGUAGGUCGACCCGUUCUCUAACAUGGGUUACAAUGACGGACGAAUUGGUGGGCAUCUGCAAACAUUGUUGGCCACCAAUAACCAACCUAUAAAGCUUUAUGAGCCAUGCUGUCCCCCGCAAAAUGUCCACUACAACUAUCCAAGUGACAACCUUCCAAUAUAGUAUGCACUUCAGUUUGAUAAAUACAAUAUUGCAAAACUCCAUCCUUGCCUUCUUUAUAUAAAGCUUCACCAAUCAUUGUAUAAGGUGCACAUUUUAAUAUUAAGCGUCGUUUAAGCUUUUCAUUGAAAUUGAGUGGGAAGGUUUGAAAUGUCAAGUAUUGAAUUAUUUCACUAUACUCUGGACUAAUUACAUCUACCGCAAACAGUUUCGCAUCAAGUAGUGCAUCGUUAAUGGAUUCAUUACCCAAUAUAUUGGAUAAUCGAGAUAAAUGGUCUGCAUUGGAAUGUGAUUUUCCUGAUCUUAUCUGAAUAGUGAAGUCAAAUUCCUGCAAGAGUAGAAUCCAUCGUGCAAUAUGACCACUCAAUUGAGGCUUAUUAAUCAUAUAUUUUAAAGCAUCAUGGUUGACAUGAAAAAUAAAUUUAUAACCAAGAAGAUAAUGUCGAAAUUUUUGUACGAAAUAAAUCAUCUCCAAUGCUUCUCUUGCAGUUGUUGUAUAAUUUCUUUUAGUUGCUACCAAUUGACAACUUGCAUAAUAAAUAGGGUGAUUAAAACUCCAGUCAUCUUUCUGGCUUAGCAUAGAACCAAUCGUGACAUUAGAUGCAUCCACAUAAACUUGGAAUGGUUUUGUCCAAAAAGGUGCCACCAAUAUUAGUGUUGAAACCAAUUUUUGUUUCAAUGUUUCGAAUGCAAUUGUACAUUCCUUUGUCCAAAAUGGACUAGUUCCAUUGGUUAGUGAUUUCUUCAAGAGAUUUGUCAAGAGAAGGCAUAUAACUACGAAUAGAUAGAUAAAUCGCUGGUAAUAAUUGAUAUGGCCGAUAAAUACUCGAAUAUCCGUAAUAGUGUCUAGUUGCUUUAAUUCUAUUAUAAUCUUUAUUUUAUCCGGAUCUAUAGCAAUGCCUGCUAUUGAAACUAUAUGAUCCAAUAGUUUAUCAGAAGGCACACCAAAUUGAUACUUUUCUAAAUUUAAAGAAAUUCCAUAUUUGGCACAUUGAUUCAAACAUUGAUCAAGACAUUCUAAAUACUUGACUCUAAUACUAAAUGUACAAAAAUCAUCUAGAAAUAUUUCCAUUGAAAUUUGUAGAUAAUCCUGGAACGCUUGCAUCAUUAUUCUUUGAAAUGUAGCUAGUGCAUUACAAAGUCCAAACGACAUAACCUUAUAGGCAAAGGUCCUCCAAUCUAUAGUAAAAGUAGUUUUUAACUGGUCUUCUUUUACAAUCUUAACUUGAUUAUAACCGGAGAAUCCAUCAAGAAAUGAAUAACAUUCAUGUCCGCAUACGACCAUACGAAAGCAGUUUUAUGCAUUAAAAAGUAAUCCACCCAAAUUUCUUUCUCCUUGUCUUUUAUACCAUCAUAAAUCUGAAUGAUUUGAGGAGCCUCUCCUAUACCUAAAUUAAUUGGUUGACAUUGAAGAAUUUCAGGUGUCUCUGGAAUAAUAUUCUGCUCAAUUCUAAAAUCUUUCAUAAAAUCUGACACAUUAGAACUUUCCAACUCCAAUUCCAUAGCACUAACAUGAUUAACAUCCCAUCUAUUCAUCCAAUAUGUAAUCAUAUGAUCAGAAUCGUCAAUAACAUCUGGAGGAACUAAGUACUCUCCCGAUCCACUACAUUGGUACUUCAUUCUAGUGUGUUCAACAACUUGCCUUAUAUUAGCAUAAAUUGGGUCAAAUGUACUAAUUUCUUCUUCUGUAGACUCAUCUUCACAAUCCGACGUGAAUUUUGAACUGACAACUUGAGUUUCUCCGUGAUAUUAGAUAGGGUAUAUUUGAAGCACAAUUUUAUCAUUACUUUUUCCAAUUGUCAAUGUACUUUAUCCCCAGUCAUUUCGAGCUUUAGCUUGAUACAACCAUGGUCACCUCAAUAAAAUUAGGUAUGAUAAUAUAGAACUUUGUAAUUAAAAAAUAAUAUAAUCAAUUUUGUAGGUAAUCUCCACAAUUAGUGUAUCAAUACUUCGUAAAAUAUCCAUAGGUUUAACUCGACUGGAGUCAGCCAUUUUCAGAACUACUAUAGUAGGCAAUAGGUGAUCCAAACCCAACUCCUCCAUUGUAGCGCCAUUCAUAAGAUUUACACUAGAUCCUCCAUCUACUUGCACUUUCGAUAGUAAUACUCCAUCAAUUGAGACAUCAAUCAAUGGUGCACCCGGAUCCAAAUUCAAACUUACUUCUCGGAUUUCUUUAUUUCAAUAUCCGUGACGAAUUAAUGAGGAAUUCAAGAUAGUUCGACACUCAGGUGCUACCACCAAUAGUUACUUCAUAGAGAUCGUGGGCUGUAUGGUGCCCAAUUCUUUUAGAAUAUCAUAUGGUUUUGUAUUAGUGGUAAUUUCCAAUGUUCGUUUCUUCUUCCCAGUCCUAGACACCAACGUAGAUAAAUUGGUUUUCUCUAUAUUGAAAAUAGGUAAAGCUACUAGAACUGAAUUUGACGGAGCCUGUAAAAUUAGUUCUUUUAAUGAGUAAGAUUUUUCUCCCAAUCAGGCUGAUAUUGGUUCCCUAGAAUUUACGCCUCUGAGAGAAUCUUUCAACGAAAAGGACAUUUUUCAAAACUGUGUAGAGAACAGAACAGCUUGACAUAGAAUCGAAGCCUCCGUAAUCAGUACCUCAUUAGGAUGCACAACUGAUUCAGGUCUUAUACUGAGUAAGAGGCCCAUGUCAGGACCUGGAUUGGAUGGCCCUAUAAUUCGGUCCAAUUGGUCCUUUGCUUCAGGAUCACUCAAAUAUUAAAUUGGUCAUUUUUUCUUCUAUUGACUUUUUGUAAGGACAGCUUGAACUACUUCUAUCCGAUGAACUGGUGAAUCUUGAGGACCUUAAUUUAUCUCUUUCAUUGUUCUUUGGCUUUGGAUCUGCUGAUCUCGAUUAUUGAAAUUGAACGGAGCAUUAUAUUGCUAAUAAGUAUGUCCCGACUGCUUGCAAUUUACACAUACUGGCGCAUAAUUGUCAGUGGCUUUGGGAUUGGGACAUUCACUAGUAUAAUGACCAAUUUGUCUACAACGGAGACAACGAAGUGAUCUUCUUGCACUUCCAUCUAGCAUAUAGGGUGUUUCCACCAGUAUAUACAUACUAGGCUUGUUCCAUGUAGGGUUAAAAAAUGAUCUUGGUUGUCUCAUUGGUACAAAAGAUACUUGGUUUGAUGACACCGGUGGAGCAUAUUACUGAUACCUCUGCUGCUCCUUCCUGUAGUUCUGGGGGUUUGAUGUAGAUCCCUGAUUAAAAUAGGAACUUUGAAAGUUAUUAAAUAUUCAAUUUUAUCGAUUAGAUCAAUUUUUAUUCCAUCCAUACGUAUUUUCCGUUUGAACUUGAUUGACUUCCCACUCAGUCGGUGGGAUCAUGGUCUAAUUACUGAAUUGUUGUUGCCUUUAUAAAUGCGAGCAGUUUUGGGUAGGAUGCUUUCCUCCACAAGAUGUAAAUUGAACACCCAUUUGUCUAUGUGAUGGACAUUCCGUAUCAAAAUGACCUUGUCCCUUACAAUUAUUACACCAUACAUUAGGUCUCGUAUUAGAAGGCUUAUGUCGUUUCUCCUUAUCUUUAGCCAAAUUCAUGGCCAAUUCUUCCAUCUUCUUUGUUAGAUUUAAUAACAAGGCUUCAUUUGGAUCUUUAACAAUCACAUUUGUGAACAACUCUAGUUGUUGAUAGGUUGACGAUGUAAAAUAAGGUAUCAUUGUUAUUGGCACUAUUGCUUAGAGUGGUGUAGCAUUAAUUGGUUCUUGCAAUAUAACAUUCUUCACAUUGGAGGCAGCCAUUGGAUAAUUACCCAUCGAUACAUUUUCUAGUUGUAUUUGUUGGCUUUUUGAAUUUGGAAUCAUCGUGGCUCCCACUAUUAACAAUUGGUCAUAAUGACAUUCUUUCCACACCUUUGCUCGUGCCAACGAUGCCUCUACUGUAGUUGGUCAAGCCUCUUCUACAAACAUUUUUAAUUCUGAUGGAUGCAAACCGUUAAUUAAUAUCGAUAAUAUAAACGCAUGUGGCAUUUGAUUAUUUGACCAUUUACGAAGUAUAUCCAUGAUCCAACCAUCUCAACCAAAUAUCUUCAAUUCUACUAUUAUUAGCCAUAUAAGUUGUCAAGAAUUGAGAUAUAUGGUGAUCGAGAUCAGAGCCCAACUAACCACUAAAAGUAGGUAAUGGUGCCACACUUCUAGUUUGGUCUCCUACUGCUCCCAUUUGUACCGCAAUUGGUACUUCUGGCACUCCCACGGCCAUUGGUGUUAUCAUUGGUCUCUUUACUAUUUGAAUCUGAAUUUUUUUUCCUUUGGUUUUUUUUGGACCUGCAAUUUCUUUUUGUCGUUCUUGUAGGAUAUUUCUUAUGCGUAAUUGCUCCUAUCUUUCUUUCGCUUAUCGAUUAAUUCUUUGAUAAUUCUCCCCUCUAUGAUUAUCACUCAUAAUCUUUCAUUCUUCUUUACAAAAUCAAUAUUUCCUUGAAUUAUAAUUCACAUAUUUGUAACCCUAAAAUUGGUUCUUCUCACCUUCUCAUUCAACAUAUAAUUCCAUCUCCUAUACAAUCAAUUUCUAAUAUUUCAUACUGUUAUCAUUUCCCUGAUAGUGGCGCCAAAAUGUUGUUCUUGUUGUGUUCAAGCUUUAGUAUACCAAAGCAAUUGAACUAAUAGAGGUAGGUUCAAACACAAGGAAAGACUAGUUAUAAGAAUUGGGUCUGUUAGUGUCACAAUUGACUGUACUCUAGCUAUCUGAAAUCAAUUAUCAAACUACAAAAUACCAAGGCUUACUACUUCCGUCUUGAUUCAACACAUAAUCCAUUCUACAACUAUCAAUUCAACAAUACUUCUCUCAAUCACAAUUCUUCAUAAGCAAAUAAUAAAAGCAAAGAAAACAAAGAGGUAGCACCAAGCUUACCCCAGCUUACGACUCUCUUAGUGUGGCUCUGAUCUCUCUUUCCUCAACCUAUUUAUCCUACCAAAAAGAUGAUUCGUCGGCGAGCGGAUUCGAAAGGUUAUGAACCUUUGAAUUCUUAACCAUUUAUUCCUCUAACAACUUAUUGUUACCAGCUAAACUGCCUAGCCAUCAGUCUAAUUCUCAAGGUUAUCAAUAACCAACCAGUAACUUACCACAAAGUUUAUUUG